rnacentral:rRNA from 1 species
UACGGGGGGGGCAAGCGUUGUUCGGAAUUACUGGGCGUAAAGGGCUCGUAGGCGGCCAACUAAGUCCGACGUGAAAUCCCAAGGCUUAACCUUGGAACUGCGUCGGAUACUGGAUGGCUUGAAAUCGGGAGAGGGAUGCAGAAUUCCAGGUGUAGCGGUGAAAUGCGUAGAUAUCUGGAGGAACACCGGUGGCGAAGGCGGCAUCCUGGACCGACACUGACGCUGAGGAGCGAAAGCCAGGGGAGCAAACGGG